rnacentral:rRNA from 1 species
UGGGGAAUAUUGGACAAUGGGCGCAAGCCUGAUCCAGCCAUGCCGCGUGAGUGAUGAAGGCCCUAGGGUUGUAAAGCUCUUUCACCGGUGAAGAUAAUGACGGUAACCGGAGAAGAAGCCCCGGCUAAAUUCGUGCCAGCAGCCGCGGUAAUACGAAGGGGGCUAGCGUUGUUCGGAUUUACUGGGCGUAAAGCGCACGUAGGCGGACUAUUAAGUCAGGGGUGAAAUCCCGGGGCUCAACCCCGGAACUGCCUUUGAUACUGGUAGUCUUGAGUUCGAGAGAGGUGAGUGGAAUUCCGAGUGUAGAGGUGAAAUUCGUAGAUAUUCGGAGGAACACCAGUGGCGAAGGCGGCUCACUGGCUCGAUACUGACGCUGAGGUGCGAAAGCGUGGGGAGCAAACAGG